GAAGCUGACCAGACAGUCGCCGCUUCGUCGUCGUCCUUUCGGGGAGACGGGCGGAGGGGAGGAAAGUCCGGGCUCCAUAGGGCAGGGUGCCAGGUAACGCCUGGGGGGGAAACCCACGACCAGUGCAACAGAGAGCAGACCGCCGAUGGCCCACGUAAGUGGGAUCAGGUAAGGGUGAAAGGGUGCGGUAAGAGCGCACCGCGCGGCUGGUAACAGUCCGUGGCACGGUAAACUCCACCCGGAGCAAGGCCAAAUAGGGGUUCAUAAGGUACGGCCCGUACUGAACCCGGGUAGGCUGCUUGAGCCAGUGAGCGAUUGCUGGCCUAGAUGAAUGACUGUCCACGACAGAACCCGGCUUAUCGGUCAGUUUCA
rnacentral:RNase_P_RNA from 1 species